UCAGGCUGUCACCUACAUCUGUCUUCAUCUCCAGAGGAUGCUUCGAAGGGGAAAAAAAUAGCAAGGUUAGAGCCUAUGAAAUGUUGAGCAAACUUGAUCACCGUCGCUUGCAGUUAACAUGGAAAGCAAGCAGAUCGGUCCGGGAGGCUACGCCGGAUUGGCACUUUCGAUCUUAGCCACCUGCGCUGCGCCACUGGAUUUUGCUGUUAUGAGCUUUUUUUUGGCCGGGAGGGAAGAGGAGCUGGCAGCCGGAAGGGGUAUGAAGGGACUGGGCGGGCAGAAGGUGUGUCGCGGGGUCGCCGAUGACGCGGCGACAUCGGGUCGGGCUUAUCCUCUUCCCGGUCAUCUCUGCAUGCGUAUCCCUGGCCGUGCUACACCCGUCCGUGUGGGACGCAUCAGGCGGAUGCGGUGAGCAAGGUCGCGGACGCGGAGGACGUGUUGGUUAUCUAAAUAGCGAUAGGAUUUUGUUUCUGAUCAAGAUCUAUCUCUUUGGGAGCACUGAUUUUGUCACUGAGCCUCAAGGUAAGAGGUAGAAAGGAGGUGCUCAGUGGCAAGCGAUGGUAUCGGAUAAAAAGGCAUGGAAGCUGAUUUAAGCUAGUAGGCCGUACAAAAAAAGUACAGGAAGACGAAUUGAGGUGUUGUGCUACCACCUGGUCAGCAUGGAGGAUGAAGAAACUGAAUGUUCAGGAGAUACCAGUUGGUCAACGACAGUGAACCCCAAUUCAUACACAUUCUAUUCUUGGUCCUUGUUCUCCAAGAUCCGUGGAAGAUGCAAAAGUGAAUUCCGCCGAGAUCGAGUGCAAGCAGAGCUUCCAAGAUAAUAACUCAAUCCCUCUCUCAUAAGUAAUAAGCGGCAGUGGUAGAUUUUUGGCACCAGGAGGCUCCUAAAUCAGAUUCACCAAAGGUAAGCCAUGAUGAUAAAAUAAAAUGAUGCAAGUUCUUCAUAACCAUGUCAUUUUUCACUUUUGAUAGCACCAGCAGGACUAUCAGCUGACUCACAUUCCACCCAGAAGAGGAAAAUUAUCCACCAGAAAAUGACCCAACAACUCUCCCAUCAGAAGUACCAUGGAAGCAGCAGACAUACAUCUUCCAAGCGGAGAUGGAGCAUGCAAAGCAGAAGAUGGAACCACUGAGGAAUGCCUCCCGGCCAUGGCAUCAACAGCGGCAUGGCAACCUACAACAUCAAUCAAUCAGUAAACAACAUGACAUUGCUGGUAAAUUUCUAUGAUUAAUAUAAAUUUCUAUGAGUCUCCCGCUACACCGCCUUGGAAGCUUUCCCUCUUCAUCCGACCAUCGAGCACACACAGCCAGCAAGGUCCAUCACCACCAAUCCCAUCACCGCGAACAGCUCGCCUUCCAGAAGGAUCUACGGCAGCGCUGUGAGGUCUGGCCACGCAUCACCGCGAACAGCUGGUCCUCCAGCGGAAGCCGAACGACAGUGAGAGGUCUGGCCGACGCUGAGGAAUACCCAGGCAAAGCUGAAACUGCGGAGAUCGAUAGCAUGGCCGGAAGGGUUCGAGGAUCCUCCAUGGCGGCCAGGAGAGAGGAGUCCGGUGGAUGUAGAUGUGAAGAUCAGCCAAAGGGGUCGGUGGAGACAUUCAAUACUCCUCCUGGACAUCAAUGACCACAUGGUUUCUUCUGGAUCCGGCGAGGUCUGACGGAGAUGACAUCGACAGAGAAGAUGAGACCGGACCUCGUUAGCUGGCUCGCCGCUGCGUGCAUCUACAUGACGGUGCCGGAGGCCGUUGAUAACAUCUUCGAACGACACCCUCCAUUAUCGCGACGGCGCCGCGCGCAGAGGGUGACCGAUGCUCCUCUGCGCCGCUAGUUCCCCUGGGAAGGAGAGGAGGGGUCCGACCUUCUCGUCAGCCAGCCGCAGAGAGAAGGCCAGGCAGGGAGAGGAGAUCGCUGGGAAGGGUGUGGGCGGCGGUGUUGGGAAGGAGGAGAGCAGUCAAUUCCUAUUUUUUCUUGGCAUGGCGAAUUGGAGCGGUGGAGACGUGCAGAUCGAUGGUUGCUCGAUGUGGGGGUCUCCGCGCCGCUUUGACCGUCCCACGUUGUGAACCGGGAAACCGGGAAUUGUGGGUAUAGAAGAGAGAGAAACCUGUAAGAAGGGAUGAGCAACCGGAAACCAUAAGAAGUAAUACCGGAAGAAGCCGGUCAGAUCUGUUUUUUUCACGCGAGAAAAAAGAAAAGGAAGUCCCGCACGUCCAGGAAUAUCAGCUCGUGAAUAGGGGAAAACGCAAUCGUGCCAAAACCUGAUUGGUGGAAACGGGACCAUCAACAGUACCCAAAGUAAUCUCCUUGCGGCAGAAAGGGUUAGCUUUGAUAUAGUUUAUUAUGUAUUCUAUGAACGUGCACAAUUUCUAGUGGAAAUAGAUUAUAUAUCCUUGGAAGUGCAAGAAUAUCAAAAGUGGAAAUCUUGGUGUCUCCAAUAAGACAUGGAUGAUGGAUCCUUCGUCUUGUCUCCA